AACGAACGCUGGCGGCAUGCCUAACACAUGCAAGUCGAACGAGACCUUCGGGUCUAGUGGCGCACGGGUGCGUAACGCGUGGGAACCUGCCCUUAGGUUCGGAAUAACUCCCCGAAAGGGGUGCUAAUACCGGAUAAUGUCUUCGGACCAAAGAUUUAUCGCCUUUGGAUGGGCCCGCGUUGGAUUAGCUAGUUGGUAGGGUAAAAGCGUACCAAGGCGACGAUCCAUAGCUGGUCUGAGAGGAUGAUCAGCCACACUGGGACUGAGACACGGCCCAGACUCCUACGGGAGGCAGCAGUGGGGAAUAUUGGACAAUGGGCGAAAGCCUGAUCCAGCAAUGCCGCGCGAGUGAUGAAGGCCUUAGGGUUGUAAAGCUCUUUUACCCGGGAUGAUAAUGACAGUACCGGGAGAAUAAGCUCCGGCUAACUCCGUG
rnacentral:rRNA from 1 species